rnacentral:misc_RNA from 1 species
AGUCCAUUAAGCCUAGUUGCUUAGCGUUGGGAGCAUUACCGUACGGUAACUCCUCAAAGUCAGUGGCAGGGUUACGGUACACUCUAAGCGUAGUAGAUUUCUUUCUCGCUUUUGCUGUGGCCGCGGCCGUUGCCAUAAACCUAUACUUCUUUAGUU